rnacentral:rRNA from 1 species
AGUGAACGCUGGCGGCGUGCCUAAUACAUGCAAGUCGAACGAAGUGGCGCACGGGUGCGUAAUAUAUAGUUAAUCUCCCCUACACAGAGGAACAACAGUUGGAAACGACUGCUAAUACCUCAUAGUGUAGGAUGAGACUAUAUCGUAUCAGCUAGUUGGUAAGGUAAUGGCUUUCCAAGGCUAUGACGCGUAACUGGUCUGGGAGGAUGAUCAGUGACAUUCGAACUGAGACACCGUCCAAACUCCGACGGGAGGCAGCAGGAAGGAAUAUUGCGCAAAGGGGGAAACCAUGACGCAGCAACGCCGCUUGAAGGAUGAAACUUUUCAGAGCGUAAACUCCUUUUAUCAGGAAAGCGGUACCUGGUGAAUAAGCGCCGGCUAACUCCGUGCCAGCCGCCGCGGUAAUAC